AUGAACGCUAGCUACAGGCUUAACACAUGCAAGUCGAGGGGCAGCAUGGUCUUAGCUUGCUAAGGCCGAUGGCGACCGGCGCACGGGUGAGUAACACGUAUCCAACCUGCCGUCUACUCUUGGACAGCCUUCUGAAAGGAAGAUUAAUACAAGAUGGCAUCAUGAGUCCACAUGUUCACAUGAUUAAAGGUAUUCCGGUAGACGAUGGGGAUGCGUUCCAUUAGAUAGUAGGCGGGGUAACGGCCCACCUAGUCUUCGAUGGAUAGGGGUUCUGAGAGGAAGGUCCCCCACAUUGGAACUGAGACACGGUCCAAACUCCUACGGGAGGCAGCAGUGAGGAAUAUUGGUCAAUGGGCGAGAGCCUGAACCAGCCAAGUAGCGUGAAGGAUGACUGCCCUAUGGGUUGUAAACUUCUUUUGUAAAGGAAUAAAGUCGGGUAUGGAUACCCGUUUGCAUGUACUUUAUGAAUAAGGAUCGGCUAACUCCGUGCCAGCAGCCGCGGUAAUACGGAGGAUCCGAGCGUUAUCCGGAUUUAUUGGGUUUAAAGGGAGCGUAGAUGGAUGUUUAAGUCAGUUGUGAAAGUUUGCGGCUCAACCGUAAAAUUGCAGUUGAUACUGGAUAUCUUGAGUGCAGUUGAGGCAGGCGGAAUUCGUGGUGUAGCGGUGAAAUGCUUAGAUAUCACGAAGAACUCCGAUUGCGAAGGCAGCCUGCUAAGCUGCAACUGACAUUGAGGCUCGAAAGUGUGGGUAUCAAACAGGAUUAGAUACCCUGGUAGUCCACACGGUAAACGAUGAAUACUCGCUGUUUGCGAUAUACGGCAAGCGGCCAAGCGAAAGCGUUAAGUAUUCCACCUGGGGAGUACGCCGGCAACGGUGAAACUCAAAGGAAUUGACGGGGGCCCGCACAAGCAGUGGAGUAUGUGGUUUAAUUCGACGCAACGCGAAGAACCUUACCAGGUCUUGACAUUGAUGGACAGAACUAGAGAUAGUUCCUCUUCUUCGGAAGCCAGAAAACAGGUGGUGCACGGUUGUCGUCAGCUCGUGUCGUGAGAUGUUGGGUUAAGUCCCGCAACGAGCGCAACCCCUAUUGUUAGUUGCUACGCAAGAGCACUCUAGCGAGACUGCCGUUGACAAAACGGAGGAAGGUGGGGACGACGUCAAAUCAUCAUGCCCCUUAUGUCCUGGGCUACACACGUACUACAAUGGCUAUAACAAAGAGAAGCGAGACAGUGAUGUGGAGCAAAACUCAAAAAAAUAGUCUCAGUUCGGAUUGAAGGCUGAAAUUCGCCUUCAUGAAGCUGGAAUUGCUAGUAAUGGCAGGUCAGCAUACUGCCGUGAAUACGUUCCCGGGCCUUGUACACACCGCCCGUCACACCAUGAGAGUCGGGAACACCCGAAGUCCGUAGCCUAACCUUUUAGGAGGGCGCGGCCGAAGGUGGGUUCGAUAAUUGGGGUG
rnacentral:rRNA from 1 species